ACCUGCGUGCGAUCUAGUGAUUGCCUGAUUUGUAAUCAGGGGGUCACGAGUUCGAAUCUUGUAGCCGGCACCA
rnacentral:tRNA from 1 species